rnacentral:rRNA from 1 species
UACAGAGGUCCCAAGCGUUGUUCGGAUUCACUGGGCGUAAAGGGUGCGUAGGCGGUCGGGUAAGUCUGAUGUGAAAUCUCACAGCUUAACUGUGAAACUGCAUUGGAUACUAUUCGGCUUGAGAGUUGGAGGGGGGACUGGAAUUCUUGGUGGAGCAGUGAAAUGCGUAGAUAUCAAGAGGAACACCAGUGGCGAAGGCGAGUCCCUGGACAACUUCUGACGCUGAGGCACGAAAGCUAGGGGAGCAAACAGG